UUAAUGAUACUUCUGUACGUUCAGGCUCUAGUCGAAAAAUGGAGCAGGUGAGAUUCCUAUGU
rnacentral:ncRNA from 1 species